rnacentral:rRNA from 1 species
UCAAGUUAUUAAGGGUGCAGGGCGGAUGCCUUGGCACUAGGAGCCGAUGAAGGACGUGAUAAGCUGCGAUAAGCUUCGGGGAGUUGCACGUAAACUUUGAUCCGAAGAUUUCCGAAUGAGGAAACUCACUUAGAGUAAUGUCUAAGUAUCAUUAAGUGAAUACAUAGCUUAAUGAGGGGAACUCAGGGAACUGAAACAUCUAAGUACCUGAAGGAAGAGAAAGAAAUUCGAUUCCGUAAGUAGCGGCGAGCGAACGCGGAUUAGCCCAAACCAAUAAAGUUUUCUUUAUUGGGGUUGCGGACAUAUCAUAACGAAGAGGUAUCGUAAUUGAAGAGGUUUGGAAAGACCCACCACAGAAGGUAAUAGUCCUGUAUGUUAAACGAGAAGACUUUAGAUAUGAUCCAGAGUACCACGGGACACGUGAAACCCUGUGGGAAGCAGGAGGGACCACCCUCCAAGGCUAAAUACUACCUAGUGACCGAUAGCGUAUAGUACCGUGAGGGAAAGGUGAAAAGAACCCCGGGAGGGGAGUGAAAUAGAACCUGAAACCCUGCACUUACAAGCUGUGGAAGCACAUUUCUUGUGUGACCGCGUACUUUUUGUAGAACGGGCCAACGAGUUACGUUAAGUAGCAAGGUUAAGCACUUAAGGUGCGGAGCCGUAGCGAAAGCGAGUUUUAACUGAGCGUUCAGUUACUUGACGUAGACCCGAAACCGGGCGACCUACCCAUGAGCAGGAUGAAGCGAAAGUAAAAUUUCGUGGAGGUCCGAACCCACGAGCGUUGAAAAGCUCGGGGAUGACUUGUGGAUAGCGGUGAAAUUCCAAUCGAGCCCGGAGAUAGCUGGUUCUCCCCGAAAUAGCUUUAGGGCUAGCCUCAAGGUGAGAGAUACGGAGGUAGAGCACUGAAUGUCCUAGGGGGUAUUGCACCUACCGAAGACUAUCAAACUCCGAAUGCCGUCAUCUUAUACUUGGGAGUCAGACUGUGGGUGAUAAGAUUCAUAGUCGAAAGGGCAACAGCCCAGAUCGUCAGCUAAGGUCCCUAAAUGUAAGUUAAGUGGUAAAGGAUGUGGGAUUGCACAGACAACCAGGAUGUUGGCUUAGAAGCAGCCACUCAUUCAAAGAGUGCGUAAUAGCUCACUGGUCGAGUGAUCCUGCGCCGAAGAUUUCCGGGGCUAAAACUUACUACCGAAGCUACGGCAUCAGUAAUGAUGGGUAGGGGAGCUUCCCAUACGGGUUGAAGCAUGACCGUAAGGACAUGUGGACAGUAUGGGAGUGAGAAUGUUGGCAUGAGUAGCGAGAUGUGGGUGAGAAUCCCACAGGCCGUAAACCCAAGGUUUCCAGGGGAAGGUUCGUCCGCCCUGGGUUAGUCGGGACCUAAGCUGAGGCUGAAAGGCGUAGGUGAUGGACAACAGGUUGAUAUUCCUGUACUACCGAUAACCGUUUGAGAGAAGGGAUGACACAGUAGGAUAAGCUAAGCACACUGUUGGUUAUGUGUGCCCAAGCAUUGAGGCAGUCAAAGUAGGCAAAUCCGCUUUGAUAAUGCUGGGAUGUGAUGGGGAGCGAAAUUUAGUAGCGAAGUAGCUGAUUUCACACUGUCAAGAAAAGUCUCUAUCGAGGUUAAAGGUACCCGUACCGCAAACCGACACAGGUGGGUGAGGAGAGUAUCCUAAGGCCAGCGAGAGAACUGUUGUUAAGGAACUCGGCAAAAUGACCCCGUAACUUAGGGAUAAGGGGUGCCACCAUCAGGUGGCCGCAGAGAAUAGGCCCAAGCGACUGUUUACCAAAAACAUAGGUUUCUGCUAAGUCGCAAGACGAUGUAUAGGAGCUGACGCCUGCCCGGUGCUGGAAGGUUAAGGGGAUUUGUUAGAGCAAUCGAAGCAGUGAACUUAAGCCCCAGUAAACGGCGGCCGUAACUAUAACGGUCCUAAGGUAGCGAAAUUCCUUGUCGGGUAAGUUCCGACCCGCACGAAAGGCGUAACGAUUUGGGCACUGUCUCAACAACAGACUCGGUGAAAUUGUAAUUCCGGUGAAGAUGCCGGAUACCUGCGACAGGACGGAAAGACCCCAUGGAGCUUUACUGUAGCUUGACAUUGGGUCUUGGUACUACAUGUACAGGAUAGGUGGGAGGCUUUGAAACCAGGACGCCAGUUUUGGCGGAGCCAUCCUUGGGAUACCACCCUUGUAGUACUGGGACUCUAACCAUAGGCCAUGAAUCUGGUCUUGGGACACUGUCAGGUGGGCAGUUUGACUGGGGCGGUCGCCUCCCAAAAGGUAACGGAGGCGCUCAAAGGUUCUCUCAGUACGGUCGGAAAUCGUACGUAGAGUGUAAAGGCAAAAGAGAGCUUGAUUGCAAGACAUACAGGUCGAGCAAGGAUGAAAAUCGGACUUAGUGAUCCGGUGGUUCUGCGUGGAAGGGCCAUCGCUCAACGGAUAAAAGCUACCCUGGGGAUAACAGGCUUAUCUCCCCCAAGAGUCCACAUCGACGGGGAGGUUUGGCACCUCGAUGUCGGCUCAUCACAUCCUGGGGCUGUAGUAGGUCCCAAGGGUUGGGCUGUUCGCCCAUUAAAGUGGUACGCGAGCUGGGUUCAGAACGUCGUGAGACAGUUCGGUCCCUAUCCGUCGCAGGCGUAGGAAAUUUGAGAAGACCUGUCCUUAGUACGAGAGGACCGGGAUGGACGUACCUCUGGUGUACCAGUUGUUCUGCCAAGGGCAUGGCUGGGUAGCUAUGUACGGAAUGGAUAAGCGCUGAAAGCAUCUAAGCGCGAAGCCAACUUCAAGAUAAGAUUUCCCACCGCAAGGGUAAGACCCCAGAAAGACUAUCUGGUUGAUAGGUCGAAGGUGUAAGUGCAGCAAUGUAUUUAGCUUAUCGAUACUAAUAGGUCGAGGACUUGACCAA